rnacentral:pre_miRNA from 1 species
UUUGCGGGGAAUGUUGUCUGGGUCGAGGAAUCUACCAAACUAGAGAGAUAGAUGGAUAGAUCUGCUAUCUUCUUUUCCCUUCUUUUACGUUUGGUGAUCUCGGACCAGGCUUCAUUCCCCCCAAU